GAGCGUGCUGUGGUGUCCACGGCAGGUGAGGAGCCAAGGCCCAGAGCCACAUCCAUGAUCCUAGUGGCAGACGUGCACGGCGCUCCCAGAGGGGCCUCAAUGCACUCCCCAGGUGGCGUUACCCCUCUGUCCCUCUCCUCUGACCGAAGCUGGGCACCUCACUUCCAGCCCUCGUCAGCUCUCCCUGAUCCCCAUUCUUCAGCGGGUCUAGACUUUGUUCCCAUGCCCAGAAUUCCACCUCCAGGCAUACAGGGGGCUGGUGGGACUCCAGAUGGUGGCCAGCCAUGGGACCAAAGAGGACACCCCCCCAGUGACAGGAGCAGAAGGGCUGGAGGCAGGAAACCCCUUACCGGAGAGAAUUCAGGAUGGAGCCAGAGAAAAGCAGAGGUAACACUUGGCUUCCCUGGAACUCUCUUGCUUUUUCCACGAUCCAGCGGACGUUGGCAAUUUGAUCUCUG
ensembl:lncRNA